UUGCUAACUUGGGCAGCACAUAUACUAAAAUCAAAACUAUAGAGAGAAGGGUAGCAUGGUACCUGCGCAAGUAAGACACACAAAUUCGUGAAAGGUUUCACAGCAUU